rnacentral:rRNA from 1 species
CACGGACCAAGGAGUCUAGCAUGUGCGCGAGUCAUUGGGACAAAACUAAACCUAAAGGCGCAAUGAAAGUAAAAGUCAACCUUGUGUUGGCCAAGGGAAGAUGGGUGGUCAUCCUAAUUUAGGGGCCACUCCGCACUCCCGGGGCGUCUCAUUCUCAUUGCGAGAAGAGGCGCACCAAGAGCGUACACGCUGGGACCCGAAAGAUGGUGAACUAUGCCUGGUCAGGACGAAGUCAGGGGAAACCCUGAUGGAGGUCCGUAGCGAUUCUGACGUGCAAAUCGAUCGUCGGAACUGGGUAUAGGGGCGAAAGACUAAUCGAACCAUCUAGUAGCUGGUUCCCUCCGAAGUUUCCCUCAGGAUAGCUGGUGCUCGUUUUGAACGAGUCUCAUCCGGUAAAGCGAAUGAUUAGAGGCAUUGGGGUCGAAACGACCUCAACCUAUUCUCAAACUUUAAAUGGGUGAGAUCUCCGGCUUGCUUAAAUGUGAAGCCGCGAGAUCGGAUCAGAGUGCCAAGUGGGCCAUUUUUGGUAAGCAGAACUGGCGCUGUGGGAUGAACCAAACGCCGAGUUAAAGCGCCUAAAUCGACGCUUAUGGGAUACCAUGAAAGGCGUUGGUAACUUAAGACAGCAGGACGGUGGCCAUGGAAGUCGGAAUCCGCCAAGGAGUGUGUAACAACUCACCUGCCGAAGUUACUAGCCCUGAAAAUGGAUGGCGCUGAAGCGUCGUGCUUAUACUCGGCCGUCAGUGACAUGUGCGGUCUAAAUUUAUUUAGUCCAUGAAGUCCUGACGAGUAGGAGGGUCGCGACGGUGAGCGCAGAAGGAUUGGCCGUGAGGCCAUCUGGAGCCGCCGUCGGUGCAGAUCUUGGUGGUAGUAGCAAAUACUCCAGCGAGGCCCUGGAGGACUGACGUGGAGAAGGGUUUCGUGUGAACAGCUGUUGCACACGAGUCAGUCGAUCCUAAGCCCUAGGCGAAAGCCGAUGUUAAUGUGGUGUAUUUUAUAUACAUUUAAACAUACACACCCAUUGGGCGAAAGGGAAUCCGGUUCCUAUUCCGGAACCCGGCAGCGGAACCGCUUAUAAGUCGGGCCCUCGCAAGAGAGUUCGUCGGGGUAACCCAAAAGGACCCGGAGACGCCGUCGGGAGAUCCGGGAAGAGUUUUCUUUUCUGCAUGAGCGUUCGAGUUCCAUGGAAUCCUCUAGCAGGGAGAUAUGGUUUGGAACGCGAAGAGCACCGCAGUUGCAGCGGUGUCCGGAUCUUCCCCUCGGACCUUGAAAAUCCGGGAGAGGGCCACGUGGAGGCGUCGCGCCGGUUCGUACCCAUAUCCGCAGCAGGUCUCCAAGGUGAAGAGCC